rnacentral:lncRNA from 1 species
AUUACAUUAAGUCUCCUAUUGCUUCUGUUUCUCUGGAGAACUCUAAUACAUAAAAGAUUAUGAUUAGAAUUAUGCUUGAAGAAGGUUAAUCUUAUAAUGGCAUGCAGAGCGGAGCUGGGCAAGGCCAGAGGCUAAAUAUGGAGCCAGAAAGAUACUGCAGAAAGUGAGCAAAAAGGAUGAGUGGAUGGCCUGGGGUGGAAUCCGUGAAAAAGGGCAGAUUGUCAGUCUCAGGAAAUCAACAGGACUGAGUUCUAACUUCAGCUGGGCUACUAUGCCCUGGGGAAUCAGAAGAUUCUCCCUAACAUUGGAGUCCAAAGAAGAGGAGCCACCAUCUCCUUAACUACAAAACAACUGAGAGAAGAAAUGUCUCCCUUUAGUGCCAGUGAAGAGUUUUGCUUCUCUAGAACAACUGUUUAUUUUUGAUCUUAUGAAACGCGUGACACUUGUAACUGAUUUGCCUUCUUUUUGCUUGCUGCUAGAAAUCUCAGAACCAAAUUCGAGGUCAUUUCUGAAUGUGCUGGACUACACAGCAUGAAUUCUGUGUCCUCUCACCUCAUUCAUAGAUACAUUUUUUUAUUCCUACCCAUCUUUUCCUUUCCCCAGAUUUUCCUAUUGCUCUUUUAUCAUCUUGAGUAAAGAAGGUUAAACUAUGAAUAAAAAGUACAAUCUCAAUGACGAGUCAGGGAAAAGUAAGUUUUGGACUUCCAUUUAGAGCCAUUUAUAGGUCAGCAAUCUUUUGUCUCUGUGUCUUCUUUCUGCCCUGAACAACCAAGGCAUCCUAGUCAGUCUCUCUUCAUCUGCAUACCACUUUAAAGAGCCCAGGGGUCUUCCAAGUACAGUCACUACUAAGAAAAUGUCUUCAGUAAAUUUUUUUUUUUUUUUUUUGAGAUGGAGUCUCGCUCUGUCGCCCAGGCUGGAAUGUAGUGGCACGAUCUCAGCUCACUGCAAGCUCUGCCUCCCGGGUUCACGCCAUCCUCCUGCCUCAGCCUCCCAAGUAGCUGAGACUACAGGCACCUGCCACCAUGCCCGGCUAAUUUUUUUUGUAUUUUUAGUAGAGACGGGGUUUCACUGUAUUAGCCAGGAUGGUCUUAAUCUCCUGACCUCAUGAUCCGCCCGCCUCGGCCUCCCAAAGUGCUGGGAUUACAGGCGUGAGCCCCCGCGCCCAGCCUUCAGUAAAAUUUUAAUGCAUGUUGCUUAUCAUUCUUUGUAUUGUAAGCACCAAUCCUUAAUCUGUGCUGUGGUUUUUGUUCAGAAACAUUUCUUUAAAAAAAUUUCCCCAGACGCUCAGCCUUCAUAUUCUAAUCUUUAUUAUUCUGAACUACCUACAAAGCUAAAUAUACCUUGUCUACAUGCAGUGCUUAUGUAACAAUGGUGCUUAUUUUGUUUUACAUUGCUUCAACCUCUGACCAGAAACUUAGAGGACAGAAUGCCCUGCUUUUACAAAAAAUGUGGUGACCACAACGGUAACCUUAUCUAAUUGAGACCAUUUUAGGAAGGAGGGGAGGAGAUAUUUUUACUGCAAAGACUGAGUCAUAAGCCUUCAUUUUUUACCCUGGGUUGUGCAGAAACUUUAAACUUUCUAUAUUAUUUCAUUUCUUCCAUACCAGGACAUUUAUUUCCUAUUCAGUGACAAUCUUGAUGUCUUCAUCCUUCAAACUGCUCUCUAACAUAGUUUCAAAAUCCAAGCAUUAAACAUUAUUAAUGCUCAGGGGAUGAAUAUGUUCAUUACCUUUACUGUAGUGAUGAUUUCCUAUGGCAAAAUGUUAAAUGAUGUAAAGAUAAAAAUAAUUAUCAUAGUUAUUAAUCAUAGCAAUAAAACUGGACUACCUAAAGCACA